rnacentral:rRNA from 1 species
GACGAACGCUGGCGGCGUGCCUAACACAUGCAAGUCGAACGAGGUCCAUGCAGUGGCAACACUGCGGAAGACCUAGUGGCGAACGGGUGAGUAACACGUGAGGAACCUGCCCCGAGGACCGGGAUAACCCUCCGAAAGGAGAGCUAAUACCAGAUACCCCCACCGGAUCGCAUGAUCUGGUGAGGAAAUGGAUUCCGCUUCGGGAGGGCCUCGCGGCCUAUCAGCUAGUUGGUGGGGUAACGGCCCACCAAGGCAUCGACGGGUAGCUGGUCUGAGAGGACGAUCAGCCACACUGGGACUGAGACACGGCCCAGACUCCUACGGGAGGCAGCAGUGGGGAAUCUUGCGCAAUGGGCGAAAGCCUGACGCAGCAACGCCGCGUGGGGAUGAAGGCUCUCGGGUUGUAAACCCCUUUCAGCAGGGACGAAUCAAGACGGUACCUGCAGAAGAAGCCCCGG